rnacentral:lncRNA from 1 species
UUUUGAUUUCAAAGAUAUAAUUUCAUUAAAGUUUUCUGAACAAAUUGGUUAAGUCAGCUCUGCUUAGCCUGAAUUCUGCUUGGAAAACUGAAAGAGAGGUCAGACGUGCAAAGACCACUUCAGCUUGUGACCUUCACUAUAGUCAGCAAGGUUGCUUAAACUUCAGGCUUCAUCACUAAGUUGAAAUGACACAGGAAAACCUGAAAUGGCUCUUUAGGUCCGCCAUCACAACAGCCAUGAAACCUGGACUGUUCAACCCUUGCUGUAUAUUCACUGGACAUGGCUAAUGCACCUUCUGAACAACCCAGAUUUUCAGAGGACCUUGAAGAAAACCUGCACCAGUCUUCAGGACUAUAGAGAACGUGAAUCCUUGAGCGCUUUCUGGUCUAGGGUGUCUUAGAGUGCCUUGCUUCCUCACCACUCAGCUCUUCCAGUAGAUUCAGAGAAUGUCG